ensembl:lncRNA
CUCAGGCGUUCCAGCGGGACACGGUCCUACCCCGGCGGGCGGCACGAGGAGAGAGGGGGCUGGAGGGAGCGCGUUCCUUCAGAAACCAGGGUUGGACUGCAGCAAAGAUCUCGGAGUCGGCGUCUCGCGCGCGUCGCAUCCGGCACCAAGCGAGACGAGAAGAUGAUCGGGGUUAGUGUGCGGAGGGGUAGGUUCUCACGGCCCCAUCGGACACCUUCCUCGGACGGCAGGCAUCAUCGGGCACCUCUUGAGCCGCGUUAAUGUGGCGUUUUAACUCAACGGCACCUACUUUAAAGUUAAAUUCAAGUCUAAAGUGGGGUGCUGCCGUUAAACCAGGGAUGGACGCAUGUGACUUUGAGCUUGUAAGCAGUGUGAGUUCACUUGGUUUCCAGACCAUCUGAACGAAAGGAAGGAAGGUGGAGGCGACCGAAGCCGAGAUGCAGCUGCUCCCCCUCCGCCCAUCUCGCUUUGUCUAAAUGGGCUUCCUCAAGAUCUUCUUGCUUUUCCCAUUAGAAUCUGCAUCGCCCCCCAGGUAGACCUCCUUUAACUUUGAGCCAUGUGCAUUAUCUCUAAGACACACGAUUCGCGCUCUUCCUUCAGAAGACAUUUGUUGGACCAUCGGUAGUUCACGGUUGCUGUUGCCGAUGAGCGUGAACCAUCAGACCCUAUCAAUGCUCUGAAGCACAAAACUAUCCUUAGAACUAUAUAAGGAGUAGUAACGUAGCCCCUAACUCCGCCGAGGGAUUCCUUCGGGGUCCCCUGCCGGUCCCAAGCCCGGAUAAAGGAGGAGGGUUGGGCACGGGGGUAGCGACCCCAUCCCGUAAAAAACCCACACCGCUACAGAAACGCCAACAAGUACUCGAGACAUCUCAGACAUCUCGGCCUUGGGCGAAGAUGGACUUCCAGCUGGAAGUCUUAUGACGCGGAGUAACGUAGCCCAGAGAGCGUUGUGAAGCUCGAACCUGAGGCUUCCACCACGUUGCUGUUAUGACUUCUCACAUUUUUUUCUCUGCAAGGUUUCCUCAAUUAUGGAUGUGCACAAUUGUACCGAAAACAUCACACAAGCUUCCCACCCACCAUCCUUUCUUCUCACGAAGAACCCCUACGGAGAAAGAACAAGACACAAGGCGCCGGCAGUUUCUUCCAGAAAAGAUCGACGGACGCGUGAGCCGUCUCACCGUGGACGGCAACGCACGGGGAAAGAGCGGCACGGCCCAAGACAGGGCCCCUCGUAGGCCUCCGAACGCAGCGCAGGAUCACGCCGCCCGCGAGCGACUGACCCAGCGGUAAAACCGCCGCGGCAGGCGCCGGAAGAUCGGCCUCGCGAAGUUACCCCGGUACCCACGCGUCACCUUUGCGUUGCGAAGCAUCCGCGAUCUGGCUCGACGCUGAAAGUCGGUGCGUUCGCGAGGGUUAGCGUCCCAGCAAAGAGCGAAAUUAUCGCUUCGUGACGUUUCCACCGAUUUCACACGAUUCGAGAGGUUCAUUAUACAAAACCCUAAAAACGGAAGUGCAAUCAAGGAAGGAGGAGCAAUGCUUUAUUUAUAGGAGGUUCCUUUACUAAAUUAACGCACGGAAAUAAAUGAAAUAACGUCUGCA